AUUUAUUUGAAUUAUAGACCAUUUUGACUCAGCUAUCCGAUCAUUUAAAUUUUUGAUUUUAUUAUCCGAUCUUCCAAUUUAUUUGAUUUGAGUCGGUCAACCUCACUUUGAAUUUAAAUUUUGCAUCUGUCUUUUAUCUUUACAGAUUUAGUUAGUAUACUUCAUAUAAUUCUCGCACUAAUAAAUUUAUUAAAGUAAUUAGUUUAAAUUUCGAAGUCAAAAUAUCGUUGACUAACUCAGAUAAGCAAAUUGAAAGAUUAGAUAGAAAAUCAAAAUUUUGAAAACGGUGCAAAUGUUGUAUAUUUUUACUCAAAAAAAAUUAUGA
rnacentral:lncRNA from 1 species